AUUGAACGCUGGCGGCAUGCCUUACACAUGCAAGUCGAACGGCAGCACGGGAGCAAUCCUGGUGGCGAGUGGCGAACGGGUGAGUAAAGUAUCGGAACGUACCUUUCAGUGGGGGAUAACGUAGCGAAAGUUACGCUAAUACCGCAUAUUCUGUGCGCAGGAAAGCAGGGGAUCGCAAGACCUUGCGCUGAUUGAGCGGCCGAUAUCAGAUUAGCUAGUUGGUGAGGUAAAGGCUCACCAAGGCGACGAUCUGUAGCGGGUCUGAGAGGAUGAUCCGCCACACUGGAACUGAGACACGGUCCAGACUCCUACGGGAGGCAGCAGUGGGGAAUUUUGGACAAUGGGGGCAACCCUGAUCCAGCCAUGCCGCGUGAGUGAAGAAGGCCUCGG
rnacentral:rRNA from 1 species